rnacentral:rRNA from 1 species
CCUGACCCCAUGCCGAACUCAGCAGUGAAACGCCGUAGCGCCGAUGGUAGUGUGGGGUCUCCCCAUGUGAGAGUAGGGAACUGCCAGGC